CUCCCCGUGGUGUAGUGGCAACACGUCUGACUGUAAUGGAACAUUAUUCAGAAACCCCCUGUUCGAUCCAGCGGCGGGGAGA